ACAAGAGUCUGUACCACCCCGUCAGUAACAGCUGCAUCGACAGCAGCCCCAGCGAGCGGCGAGUCUUCAUGAACACGUGCGACGCGUCGUCGGCCAGCCAGCAGUGGCUGUUUGAGAGGACCAACGCCACCGUGCUGGAGCACUUCAACCGGGGGGGCGCCAACUGAGGCGCUGCAGCGCUGAGAUGAGGCCUCUUUUAAAGCAAGAGACCAUGAAGCAACGAUCAACUUUGAUCAGAUAAGAAUGGAAGCUACAAGUGAGCAAUGUGCUGCUUCAGAAACAUUCCCCGUGGUACAGCAGUGAUCCGGUGUGCCGGCACAGAGCAGAAGAGCUGGUCGGACCACACACACACAACACCACCACCUCAUACAAGCUUGGGAUGAGCAAAAAAGGGUGGGAAAAAACCACGGAGAAACCUUACUGUCAUCUGGAAUUACAGGCAACACGGAGCUCUUACAGACUUUCCAAUAGACAAAAACACAAACUUGAACUCUGCUGGACUCAAUGGAUUGUCUAUUUGUUUGCCUCUUUAAUUAUUGCCUUAACGAUUCCAACAAUAGGAAAUACCUGCUGCCUAUGUUUUCACCCAGUGAACCAAAACAGCAUAUGGGAACAUAUGUGGGACAGUUGUAGUAAGUAUAAAAAAAAAGAAUUGCAAGAAUAUGUUUUUUAUAGAAACAACAGGAUCUUGUACAGACUCAUCUUUAAAGUGCAAUUGAUUUUUUCUACUGAGCAAUGAAGCAACCAAAUUACAUUAUGUCCAUUCUAUCGCA